UUUGUUGUCUAGUCUAUUUCAGCCUCAUUCAGAUCAAGAUGAUGGAUCUAUUCCUUAUUAUUAUUUUUUGGGUUUUACCAUUUAACAUUAUUUCUUCAUCCAGCUGUCUCAAGGGUUUCUAAAAAUUCAGCUCUAGACUGCAGAUGAGGGCAAGGACUUCAUAGAAGUGAAAUUCUAUUACACAAAUGACUUAUCCAAAACUUUUCAGAGUCUAAUUGUGAAAGGCUUUCAUGAAGAAGUUUGUAAGAAUAAUUGUGUUAUCUCUGAAAAGCUGAGCAUCUUGAUUUCUCAGCCCUGCAUUACUCUGUCAUCAAAAGAGUUUUUCUGUCAGCACAUGAGCUUUUCUCUAUGUGUCAGUGACAAACAUGUUGGCUCCAUUUCCACUGCAGAAGAACCACACUUCAAUGCACAGUUGCAAUAAAUGGACAAAUAAAAUACUGGAAGUGUUUUGAAGCAUAGAAAUGAAGACUACACACUCAGAAACAGCUCCAACUAGUGUAAAACACAACAGCCCAUCUGCUCAGCCAUAGAUGUUACUGUGAAAACAUCAGCCUUUGUCUCAACCCUCUACACCACAACCUACUGGGCAGAGAAUCAUUUUGGUCUUCUCACCAACCAAUAAACCAGAUACAAAUUCAAUGCAUUGUCACCACCACGAGGAACUCCUCAGCUCCAGGGGAUAGAAGAAGUCCCUACAGCAGGACUUUUUGGAGAUGUCCCCUCUGAGUACCUCAGGUGGAACACGUGUGGAUGGUAGAAAGCAGCUUUGUUUCAGUACAGGCACAACAGGACUGGGAAUAUCAGCUGUGACAGGCACUGGCAAACUGUGCUGGUUGCUGUACCUGACCAAGCACAGUGAAAUGGACUGAUGGAUAAUCACCUCCACCCUCUGACCCACCAAAUGAUGAGGUACAACUCUGUGCUAAGGGAAAUCUUAACUAUGUGGCUUGCUGGGUGUGGAAGUUUGGCCAUGAGAGGAACAUCCACUGCAAGAAGUAAAAUCAAUUUAUGCAAGCCUAUUUAACUUCAGUAAGAUCUUCAUACCCAGAAAAGUCAUUUUUGUGAUCUACAAAUAACAAAGCCAUUUUGGGUACAAAUUUGAAAAAAAAAAUACAUAAAUAUGUGUACAUAUGAAUAUGUGUGAGUGUGCCAUUUGAGACAAGAAAAGAACAGGUCAUCAUUGUUGUGAUUUUAACUUUUUAGUUACUUAAAUCUCUUUUUAUAUUUAUACUGUAACACAAGCUGUCUUAUUGAACAGAUUAUUCUGAUACAUUUUUCCUUUUUGAAUUAUUAGUAAGUAUAUGACAAUUAUUCAGGGAAUCAAAUUAUUCAUUUCUUCCAGGAAAAGUAAAACCCAAAGACUAGGAAAGGAAAAUAUUAAACAAACAUCAUAUAAUGCUUGGAUCCUAAUACAUCCCAGUAAUAAUUUUUUUUCUCUACUGAAUUCCUUGAAGGAGAAUAAAGACAAAAAUAUAACUCUACAAAAGAUUUGAAAAUGUCUUAUGGUGAAGUAAUCAAAAUGCUUCCUGUGUACUAAAAUAUUUCAUUGGCUGCUAGAAACACUUUACAAUAUAAAAAGUUAAAUCAUAACAUGUUUGAAGUAAAUUACAUUAAUAUUAAAUAUUCCUGUUCAGUUCAAUGAGGAAUAGGACUUCAUCAAUAGCUCUUUCAUCAUUUUCUUCAGGUAUUUUGGUGGCUUUUUGUCUCUGAUUUGCACAGAAAGUGUUCCCAAGCUUACUAAAAUUAGCGCAACUCUCUUCCACAAUUUCUUGUCAUCCUGGUGCGUCUGGGAUCAGGCCCAGAAAGAGGAAGGAAUGUCUCUCUGGAGAAAAGAUAAAGCAUAUGAAAUUGGGGCAAAAGAGAAGUCUCAGGAAAAACACAGGAAAAACCAUUGCACAGCUCAGGCUUAACCUUCCCUGGAGCAGCCAGGUCAGCAGGGCUGGGGGAAGCCGUUCUCAACCCAGCAGAGCCCUCUUCCCAUCAGAGACAACCAACAGGAGAAACUGGAGAAAGCUUCAAUCCCCAGGCUCCCAGAGCCUUCCUCACAGAGCUUCCCACAAAAAGGCAUGGAGAUUUCAUAUCAUCAGCUGCUCAAUUUCAUGCACCUUUGGAGGGCACUUAAUCAUGUACAUCAACAGAGGCAACACUCAAAGUUUUCUAGAAUAUUUCUGUUCCCCAAAUAGAUACUUGAGCAACAAGGAUUUCAUUUAUUUAUUAUCUGUAUUACCUUUAGUUCUACUAUUUGCUUUUAACAUAGUACAAAUAAGUUAUUGGAGGAGAGGUAAUAUACCUUUGGGUAAUAUUCAAAGAUUUCCUGGAGUCUGUAACAUACAAAUAUCAGAUUUAUUUUAUUAAUCCCAGUAAAAGGAUUUUUGGAAAAAAAAAUAUAAAAAGAGCUUAUACAAGAGAAUACAAUAGGAUAUAAAAGAUACUUAUAGUCCGACAUUCCAGAAAAUAUUGUAGUGAUAUCAUUAAUGGUUUUUCCUUUAGGGAAAAUAACAUCACUACGCUUCAUCUCUAUGUUUUACAGCUAAGUUGCUUGUGCUUGUUCAGCAGAAACAGUUUACAAGAGUUCAGUUCAGCACAUAUUUGAACUACAUCAGCAUCCAUGUAAAUAAACUGUAGGACUGUCUUUCAUGUAAAUGGGUGCCUUUUUGAUUGAAUGGACAGCACACUAGUUGUUAGCCGAUGAUGGAAACAUAUCUCACCAAUAUUUAAUUAUAGCUCUGGAAAGGUUUUUUCUUUUUCAAAUCAGAACUGUUUUGACAUAGUGUGUUCUCUUGAGUGCUGUUAGUUUGUUACAUAGCUAAAGAUUUCAGAUAACUGGUCAUAAUUAGAAGACGUGAGUACAUGAUUCACGUGUUGUUAAUUAAACUUGUUAAUAACUCUUAAAGCUUUUUUAUGGAACUGGCAGCUACCUGGGAACUCAGUACAUGAUAGUUUGCACCUGUAAAUGUGAUGCAGAUGACACACAAUUCAGAAGACCAUCUGGUGAGGGGAAAAUGUGAUUUUCACAACAGGGAAUAGGGAGCACUGGAAAAAACCCAAAACAUCCCAGCCUGGAAAGGAGACUCUCCACCCCUCUUUGUUUUCCCUUUUCUAAAUGCAAAGAUGUUUCCUGAAGGCAGGUACUAAGGAAGGUUUUACUAGCACACUAAACAACACAGAAAAGCACAGAUGAACAAGAAAUACAAGAAUUGUGAAAUGAUGCAGCAUCACAGACCUCUCUACAGAAUUGCAAAUUAGAGAAAUAAGCAAUCCUGAGAAGACCAGAAACUAUUCAUUAACUGAAAAAAUUUAAUCCAGAGUAGAAUAGUUAUUUUCAGUAAUAUUCAGAGGUUUGUUGCACAAAGCCCAAUUUGAGAUAAUUAGCAAUGAUCAAUCUUUCUUUCAUUAUACCCCAGUUUUGACUGUAGUGGGAAUUCAGGGUGUGUAAGACAAACUCAACUGAAGAAACAUGAGGUGAUUAAAAAUUAAAUAAAUUUAAUCUAUUUUGUUUAAGGCUGAUAUUAUAGUGUACUUUCUUACAUAACAAAGCAGAUCAUGGAGAACAUACAUGAACAGCUGAGUAUUGAAAAAUUAGUAAGUGCAAAAACAUUAAAGAGAAAGAUAGCCAAUGCCAGAUCCUAAUAUAUAUGUGAAAGUCUGCAGUCUUAUUCAGUAGUAAGUAACAAUGACUGGAAGAUAGUCCACCAUCUCACCUUGUUCAGUGAAGGCAGAAGAAAAAUGUUGCCUACCAAAUCUAAAUGGUCCUACAAUACUCUCUUCAACAAAGAGACAAAGUCGAGCCUUAGAAAAGAUCCGUUAAGAGUGGUAAUUAGACCAGUCAUUAAGUGAAAAAAGUGACAAAUAUGAGAGAAGAUAAGACAGAGUUACUAGGUGAAGGAGCACAUUUCUUUCUUCCUUCUGCUUCUCAUGAAAACAAGACACUAUCCAACACUCACCCACUUCUGAUUGCAGUAGGGUAUUUUAUUCAAAGAAUCCUAAAUCUCUGCCCUAUAUGUGAAUUUCCUGUUAAAGCCUUUGUUGGACAUCAAUACUGCACUAUUUUCAUCUAGUUGUAGACUUUGAAAAUGGCUGAGCCAGACAAAUGCUGCUUUUUGUGGAUACAUUAGUAUCUAUGUCUGGGAAAGCAGACAGUCACUGCCGUGCUUUGCUCCAUAAAAAGCAAG